ensembl:snRNA U6 U6 spliceosomal RNA
GUGCUUGCUUCGGCAGCACAUAUACUAAAAUUGGAAUGAUAUAGAGAAGAUUAGCAUGGCCUUUGCACAAGGAUGACACACAAAUUCAUGAAGCAUUCCAUUUGUAA